CAAAUUAGCAUGAGCACCUGGCGGCCCAACCGCAUGCAAAUAGAACACGUAGGGCAGCCCAGCCAGGUGCAGCCUGAUCAACCGAAUGGAUAAGGAAGAGUAGACAGGGAUAUCCACAGAAGGAGUAGAUUCGAUCCCCAAUCCACACGACCAAGACCGGAGGGACUCCAGCCGCGCUCUUCCUCGGAGGCACCUACGGCCGGUCGCCCGCAUCACGGGCGACGGGAGGAACUCCAACCGCACUAUUCAUCGUCAGAGGAGUCGCCGGGUAGGCGGAUGCCAUGCACUGCCCGAGCGCUGUGAAGGCGGAGGUCACGAGGCGCCGGCGAGUGCCUGUGUGCGGCGAGGACGCCACGGCGGCACGGGCCGGGCGCGCGCGAGGGCGGCCACGGCCUGACGCAGGGGCCCGGCCACGGGUGUGGCGCGGCCGCGGCCGGGCGGCGGGGGGCGCUUGGCGCGACUGCAUCAACAUCGACGACUGCGGCGUCGGAGGAGCCGCUCAUGCCGGAGGGCGACCCUGUAGAGGGCCAGCGCCGCCGAUCUGUGCGGAUGCGCGUUUCCGUCGCGGGACGCGAAGCCAGUGGUUCCGGUCGCCCAGUCCAGAGCGGGGUCGAGGCCAGACGCUGAUGGCAAGAUGACGAUGAGCGCCACCACCAGUUCAGCGAAGAUGGUGCACAAAAGUGAGGCCACGACCAGGAGCUAGGCGGCGGUGGACUGGAGAAUUUCUCUCUGUUAAUUCCGUCUCUCUCUCAAUAAGUUUCUCUCUCUACUCUCUGUGUUAACUCUCGCGCUCUCUCUCUGUUAAUCCUGUAUGAAGAAUCAACGGAUUGUGAAUUUCAGACUUUAGUGAAAGCAACAGAUUCAGUGGGCAUGCGCGACUGUAUCCUACUGGUGCAUUUAAUCUAUGUAGUUGAACUAUAUUUGGCACUCGAAGUGAGUGGUUGUUAAGAACAAGUUGCAUAAUGACAGUUUCUUAUUUUCUUUC